CGGAAUGGCAGGGCGGGGGGGGGAUCCCGGAGUUAAUCGGUGGGAAAAACCUUCCGAGAUUAACGAGUCCAGCCGAUGACCGAGCUGCACCAUGGCAGCUGGACCGUGGCAGUUAUGCCAUUGGCCUUUUAAGAGAAACAUCUGCCUCACUGCUCCAGUAGCAGGUUCAUGACAGUGCUGUCCAUACCCUCAGCCACGCCGACCACUCAGAUCAUCUUGCACUGGAGCACUGCUGUUUGCACUGGUGGGAUGCCAGGGAUUGGAGGAGUGCAUGCUCCACCUAGCUCUGAAUAACUACAGUUCCUGGAAAACCUGGAGAAGUCUCAGUGCCUAUAGAAAUCAGACCAGAUGUGCUCCCCUGGGAGCAGGGGGAGCCAGAUGCUGCUAACAGGUAACAUGACAAGCAACAGGUACUGCUGCAUCUUCCUGGUCCUACCACUACCCUCAAAGGUACCAAGUACCAUCCAUCAGGAUCUGAAUGUUCCUGUGCUGGACAGCUGAGAAGAGAUGGCAGCGUAAGCCAGAGUGAAUGUUGCCACAGCUGACGUGCCAUCUGUACAGAGCAGACUGAUAGCCCUCUCCCUUGCCCCGUGCCCUCUGCAGAGGCAAGGGCUGACAAGUGGCUGUGACAGACGUGCAGAAGGACAAGUUGAACGUCACAGGCAGCACCAAGAAAAUCCAUCUGAAACCUUGCUCCAUAUAGGAAAGUGCAGUUCCAGCUGUUCAGCCUUCGGAGUAAGCUGGCUCUGAAGCUGCUGCUACCCUGGCUGUAAUGCUAGGCAAGCACAGCCCCAUCAGAGCUGGUGAAUAGGGGGAAACCAGCAGGGGUAGCAGCAUCACGCUGGUACAAGGAAUCUCGUGAUGCUAUUGCUCCCCAUGAUUAUGCUGUUAACAGCCAAGCAGGGUGGAGUUUAAUGAGCAAAGGUAGAUGAGAAAAGGAAAACAACUGAGACAAAUGAUGUUUAAAUGUGAUGGCUCAUUAAACAAAAGCUCUCUGCUAUGUUUCUUUCCUCGGUAGCAACAAAAGGGACAAUGGCCAUAAGUAAAAGGCAACCCACUGACAACAGGAAGGAUUUAUAGAAAGUAUCACAAUUUAGCUGCUCCAGCACGAAUGAGCAGAGAUAUUUGGCAUCAAGUAACUCAAGUGAAGGGUUUUGCAAAGUCUUUGUAUGAGACAGAGUGCUCUUUUCUGCCCAAACCCUAGGAGCUUCUCGCUAUUUGAAUAUCAAGGACAAGUCCUGCUUUUCUUCAUAUGUGAAUUCCUGUUGUCUUCAGCAGAUGUUUUGCAGUGCAGAAGUCAGUGCCGUGUGGGCUGGGGACCUCAUAUUAAUGUGUCAACCAUCUUGUCUGGCCUGGCUUAACAAUGCCUGCCUGUGGGGCUUUGAUCCUGACCGGAUACAGUAGCUUUUACUGAACUGUAAGCCUUCCUGGAUUUUGAGAAGUUAAACAAAUCAAUUCUUCAAAAGACAGCAACAGCUUCACUAGUGUCCUUCCUGACAGGUGUAAAACCAUUUCCAAAAGCAUCUGUGUGGCAGAGGCUCCACACCCCCCAACCUGAGCAACUAUUCCAGUGCUUCAUUGUCAUUAUCCACCUUGUCAGUAUGUUGCCCUCUCCAGGCAGGAUAUGGAGGACAGACUAUUUCCUCCUUCUUUGCCAAAGCCUUACUGUAGAUUUUGUAGAUUACCUUUCAGCUUUCCAACAACAUGUGAGAAAAGAUCUCCAUAAUGUUCAUCUGUCUUACAAGGCAAAUGGCUACUCUGCAAUUGUAGAAAUUUGUAGAAAUAGAACUGUGUGUGAUUUUCUGCCUGAAGAAAAAGAUGUAGUCCAUCUUAUUGAAGUUCUUAUUGUGUUAUUUAUGAGACCAGUGAAGGCAAUAGUCUUCAGGCUAUGAAAUACCUGAUCCCCCAGGAGCUCCCACCAUUAAGCUCUUGAGCUGAGAAGUUGGCCCUGCAAUCCACCAAGAGUGGGGAUGGGUCCCUGGACUUCUUUGCCAGUUCAAAAUGUGCCAGGAAAGAGAAAGACUGAGUAUGCAAUCACUUCUGAUGCUAGGAUAUCUUGGAUAGCAAGAGAAUGAUAUCUUUACUGCUCUUUUUUUUUUUGUUUUCUGCAUGGGCAACUCAGCCUAAUCAGAGAUUCCAUUGUCCAGUACUGGAAAAUUUAGUCAUUUGGAUGCUGUAGAAAGUAUGCUGUUCUCUAGGUCUCUCUGUAACAAAGAACAACAACUUUGGAGCAGAUGCAGAGAGAUGAGAUUUAAACCUCCUAUUCACUGGUCUUUUUGAAGGUCACGUGCCAAGGAACUAACACAGAUUCUAGUAUUUCUGUUGAAACGGUAGUGCACAACAGCAGGGGUUUUGUUGGUUGUGUUCUGCACAUGACUGCACUGACAUCGUAAACCACAGUAAAACAGAUAACUUCGUUCUGUCUGAUGUAACAGAAGAUCUUCUGUCUCCCAAAUGUCAUUUGAUCCAAGAGAGAUUGAACUGAUUUGAGGGCAGCUUUCAUCAACACCCUCUCUGUUCCAAGUGAGGAGCUUGCACCAUUGGAACUACCUAUUCACAAAUCUCGCGGGAAGGCAGCCAGCAAAAUGCCAUGUCCACACAGAAAGUGCUUAUUGGUUGGAUGGCAGCAUUGUGGACAGGAAAAAUGCUGCUCAGACAAUUUAUCUGCAGUGAGGAGUUUAAACAUUCAAUGCUCACUUCUACACCGCCGCAUCUCCUACUUAGUGGAUGUCAAAAUGUUGCAGUUGAGCAACAUUUCAUUCUGUGCAUAGAAAUCAAUGGUCUGAUUGAUUUGCCUCAGACUGGUUUUUGUUCAAAAUUGCUGAAGGCCCAUUACCUGGAUGACACGAGUCAGAGAAAUUAAAGUCUCACUGAUUAUGAUGUUAUGAAGCAAUCUGAGUCUGCAAAAGAAUAACCUACAUAUUUGAUAUCAGGGCAUGUUGUGUUUGCAGCUGACACUUUGAAGACAGAUACCUAAUGUUAGAGCAAGCUACAAGAAAAACAGAACACAACAAUAAGGCAAGGCCAGCUGAAUAUGCAGUGACUAAAGGGGGUUUCACCUUAGAAUCUGGCAAUGAGUGGAUUUCCAAAAUUUGUUAUUGACAGCAAGAUUUACCUCAAACUGCAUUGCUUAAAUGUGGGUAUGUGAAAAGCUCUGACACUGGAUCAGCAGAGAUCCAGUCAAUGCAGGUGGUGCACUGGAGAGUUGUUGCUCUUGUUAGACACAGUGGACACAGCUGAUGGGUUGAAUGGCUCUCCAGAGUCUGCAGCCUGCAUUGACUCCUUUUCUGUUGGCUGUAAGCAGACAUUUGACCCCAAAUUCACAUGCAGGUUCCCACAGUCCAGACAGCCACAUCUCACACUGGCUGUAAGUACACACAGCUCUCACUCCUGAGCUCCAAACCUCACCUUGGUGUGCACCAUGUCAGUCAAUAACAAAAGCAAGUAGCUGGAAAAGCUGGUUGCCAAAGAAUCAUCUCCAAUUCCUUGGGAAUAAUAUGAGUUUAGUGUUUAAGACCAGUCCUUCCACCUUAUUUCACACCACAAGGAUGCAGAAAAUAUUUGGGAACUGAAUCUUGAGUUGGAAUAUUUUCUGAAGGGUAUUUUCACAAAACAUUCAAUCCCAGAAGUCAAGAAUGUAUAAAUGUAUAUAUAAAUGUCUUGCUCUGAAACCUUUUGCCCACCCUGUCUAUCUUAUAAAUCACUUUUUCUCCUGACUUUGCUCUAAUGGAUUUCCUAGAGUUUUCUUAGUUCUUUCCAGGUGGCCUCUCUCCAGUUUCACAUCUGCUGAUGGCCACAUUUUCUUCCUGUGUCUAUUGAAGGCAAUGACCACUAUAUCUACUCCAAAACAGCUCCCCGUGGACAGAUCCAGGGAGCUUCUCAUGACAAAGAGCAAUUUGAUGUUCAUACAUAUUAUGCUGGCGUGUAAACCCACCAAGGAUGACCAGAAGAAAUGGGACCUGACUGUCUUCAUAAAUUUUCUCAAGCGCCUGGUGGGUAGCAGAACCUGCUCUUGCCAAUGACCUCUGAGAUUGCAGUAUAAAAUUAACCUAAAGCAUCUAAAAAGCAACUGGAGGGGAAGGAUGUAUUUUAUGUCAAUUCAGUCAAAAAGUCCUCAGAAUUAGUUGCCUGAAGUGUUUGGGAAAGCUGACAAAGUAUAAUAGCACUGAGACUAUUUUCUUGCUUCUCAGCAAAGACAACAUUAAUCGUCUGGGCUUAAUAUAGCCUUCCACAUGCCAACUGGGUGCAAAAUUAUGGCUGGUAUUAGAAAACCACUUACCAUGUGGACAGGCUUAAAGUGCAAUAAGCUGUGGGGUGUGGAUGCAGAUGGAGUAUGCCUAAGGACAAACAGUGACCUUGAGAAUUGUAUGCCAUGUCUCUGGAGAUAUAGUGCUUCUUCAUUAUGAACCCUGACAGACAUAGAGCUCUUCAUCAGUGGUGGGGCAAGGAAGGACUUAGAUUUGGAGCCAGGCUUGAAUUUUGCAGUCCAGGUAUAUCUAGAGAUGUCGAGCAUGAGAGAUUUACUGAAAUGGGUUGUAUACACACUUAUAAUAUCUGUAUUCAUAAUGUAAAGGCCGAUAUACGUCAAGAGUGUGUCAGAGAGAGAAUCCACAGCUUUGGAUGUUCACAAGAACAGCAUGUAUAGAAAAAAACAAUCCUUUUCUGUACCCACCUUGGCUCGAUUGGUGUAUCUUCUGCCAAAUAGUUAUCCUUAUUUUGAUAGAAAAGGAGCAGAAAUAUAGCUGAGUAUUUCUGCUGAGACUUUGUCUUAGCACUUGAAGAAUCCAGAGUAUGUCAAAUAAGGUCAAACCCUUUAACACCCUGCAUUGUAACAUCUGUACAACACAGCUUAGAGAUUGUUGUUCUGGUAUUACUACCUAGUAAAGUGGGCUCAAUGGUGCAGUGCUUAUAUAACACUUUUUUCUGUGCAUAAAUUGUGUCUCAGUCCUGUUUUUCUGCCAG